GCUGUGAUCGUACAGUGGCUAGUACUCUGCGUUGGGGCUGCAACAGCCUCGGUUCAAACCCUAGACACGGCA
rnacentral:tRNA from 1 species